UCCUACGGGGGGCAGCAGUGGGGAAUAUUGCACAAUGGGGGAAACCCUGAUGCAGCGACGCCGCGUGAGUGAAGAAGUAUUUCGGUAUGUAAAGCUCUAUCAGCAGGAACGAGACAAGACGGUACCUGACUAAGAAGCCCCGGCUAACUACGUGCCAGCAGCCGCGGUAAUACGUAGGGGGCAAGCGUUAUCCGGAUUUACUGGGUGUAAAGGGAGCGUAGACGGCGAUGCAAGUCUGAAGUGAAAGGCGGGGGCCCAACCACCGGACUGCUUUGGAAACUG
rnacentral:rRNA from 1 species